AAAAUAUUAUCUACAAAUAAUUUGCAAAAUGCUCUGGUGAACUGGAUGGGACUAAUGGGUUGUCACAAUCCCCCCCUGCUGCCUAAUGAGGCCAAAGAAGUUCUCCAGAGGAUCUUGGUUGAGACGUCUUGUCAUGAGAAACUCCAAGGAAUGAUGUUGGUUGAGGUCUUGUAAUAUGUAAAUACUACUGUAUAAUUACUACUGACAGUGUAAAUACUACAGUGAAAUGUAAAUACUACAGUGUAAUUGGGGUUUAAAAAUACAAAGUUUAUUUUAAUAAAUGUUGUUUAUUUUAUUUCACAUUUAUAUACAUUUAAGAACUUAAAUUAUUCAAAAACUAAAUAAAUAUGUGUUCAAUGUCAAUGAAUAUUGCUAUAUUCUAAAUUUCUUAUUCCAAAAUAGGCAAUAACUGUUUCCUUUAUAGUUGACCCCACAUGCUGUCAUGGAAAUUAAUACUAAAUAAAAAAAGUAGCCAAUGAUCCAUGUUUCCUCCUACAGUCUUUGCUUUAUAUAAAAAGUUACAUACUAUGAAUAAUUGCAUUGUUCCUUUCAUUGAUAAAUAGUUUAGAGAAAGUAUUCCCAAUUAAUCCUUUCCCUGUUAAAGUGUGCUCUCCCCUUGACGAGUAAAAUCGUCUGGCGUUAGACAGAGUAAAAUAAUAAAGUAGGGUGCAUCAGGGCACAAUGUAACUCAAUAGGUUAACUGGAUCGUCUGGUGUUAGACAAUAGACAGAGUAAAAUAAUAAAGUAGGGCGCAAAGUGACUCAAUGGGUUAACAAGUAAAAUUGUCUAGCUUUACUGCAGUACAUCUUCCAAGGGGGGCUGGAUUGGGGAGCAGGCCUACCAUGCACUUUUACAUGGGGGGGGGGUGCUUUUUUAACCCUCCAUUACAGUAAACUAUUACAGUAAUCUGAAGGCCUGUUUAUUAGGCCGUCGUUCUCGUCUAGGAGGAUGGCUAAAUGGCGUGGGUGGGUGGGUCGUGCGUCGUGGGUCGUGGGUCGUGCGUCGUGCGU